AAGUCGAGCGAACAGACGAGGAGCUUGCUCCUCUGACGUUAGCGGCGGACGGGUGAGUAACACGUGGAUAACCUACCUAUAAGACUGGGAUAACUUCGGGAAACCGGAGCUAAUACCGGAUAAUAUAUUGAACCGCAUGGUUCAAUAGUGAAAGACGGUUUUGCUGUCACUUAUAGAUGGAUCCGCGCCGCAUUAGCUAGUUGGUAAGGCAACGGCUUACCAAGGCAACGAUGCGUAGCCGACCUGAGAGGGUGAUCGGCCACACUGGAACUGAGACACGGUCCAGACUCCUACGGGAGGCAGCAGUAGGGAAUCUUCCGCAAUGGGCGAAAGCCUGACGGAGCAACGCCGCGUGAGUGAUGAAGGUCUUCGGAUCGUAAAACUCUGUUAUUAGGGAAGAACAAAUGUGUAAGUAACUAUGCACGUCUUGACGGUACCUAAUCAGAAAGCCACGGCUAACUACGUGCCAGCAGCCGCGGUAAUACGUAGGUGGCAAGCGUUAUCCGGAAUUAUUGGGCGUAAAGCGCGCGUAGGCGGUUUUUUAAGUCUGAUGUGAAAGCCCACGGCUCAACCGUGGAGGGUCAUUGGAAACUGGAAAACUUGAGUGCAGAAGAGGAAAGUGGAAUUCCAUGUGUAGCGGUGAAAUGCGCAGAGAUAUGGAGGAACACCAGUGGCGAAGGCGGCUUUCUNGGUCUGUAACUGACGCUGAUGUGCGAAAGCGUGGGGA
rnacentral:rRNA from 1 species